rnacentral:rRNA from 1 species
GACGAACGCUGGCGGCGUGCUUAACACAUGCCAGUCGAACGGAAAGGCCCUGCUUUUGUGGUGUGCUCGAGUGGCGAACGUGUGAGUAACACGUGAGUAACCUGCCCUUGACUUUGGGAUAACUUCAGGAAACUGGGGCUAAUACCGGAUAGGAGCUCCUGCUGCAUGGUGGGGGUUGGAAAGUUUCGGCGGUUUGGGAUGGACUCGCGUCUGAUCAGCUUGUUGGUGGGGUAAUGGCUUACCAAGGCUUGGCCGGAUAGCCGGCCUGAGAGGGUGACCGGCUAGAUUGGGAAUGAGGCACGGCCUACACUCGGACGCGAGGCAGGGGAAGGGUAUAUAGCGGGAGGGGGCAAGAUGCGAUGAAGCCGCGUGGGGGGAGUGAAGAUGUAUGUCGUAAAGUACAGCCGUCUGAGAAGGGAAGAGAAUGACGGUACCUGAUGAAGAAGCCCCGGCUAACUACGUG